rnacentral:rRNA from 1 species
UACGAAGGGGGCUAGCGUUGUUCGGAAUUACUGGGCGUAAAGCGCGCGCAGGCGGUUUUCCAAGUCAGUGGUGAAAGCCCGGAGCUCAACUCCGGAACUGCCAUUGAAACUGUUAAACUUGAGGACGAGAGAGGUGAGUGGAAUUCCCAGUGUAGAGGUGAAAUUCGUAGAUAUUCGCAAGAACACCAGUGGCGAAGGCGGCUCACUGGCCCGGUACUGACGCUGAGGCACGAAAGCGUGGGGAGCAAACAGG